rnacentral:rRNA from 1 species
GACGUAGGGCGCGAGCGUUGUCCGGAUUUAUUGGGCGUAAAGGGCUCGUAGGCGGUUUGUCGCGUCGGGAGUGAAAUCCACUGGCUUAACUGGUGGCUUGCUUUCGAUACGGGCAGACUGGAGGUAUGCAGGGGAGAACGGAAUUCCGGGUGUAGCGGUGGAAUGCGUAGAGAUCCGGAGGAAGACCGGUGGCGAAGGCGGUCUGCUGGGCAGUUUCUGACACUGAGGCGCGACAGCGUGGGGAGCAAACAGG